GGAAAACUGGAAGUUAAGGCAGCGUCAGAGUAGGUCAGAUCAAGCAGUAAAGGCUACCAGCAAAUGAUUUCAAAUUGAAGAGUUGGGAAACCUUAUACCAAGUGUCUACGGAAGGCAUCGGACUUGCAAGCUCUUGUCCUGCUGGGGGACUUCAACCACCCUGACAUCUGCUGGGAAAGUAGUAUAGCAACCUGUAUAGAUCUGAAGAAACUGCUAAGAAUAGAGGAAGAAAAGAAGUUGGAGUAGAGAUGAGCUGGAAG